rnacentral:lncRNA from 1 species
CCAGGGUCAAUCAAUGCAAUCACAUUAGUAUCAAAUAGAGUGAAAGUACCAGUGAUAACAUCAGGGGAGGACGCCUCCUCUCGUGCGCGGAUGGCAUAUGCUCUAGCGGGAGCACGAGUCUCAGAUCGAACAGCCGUAUCAGAAGUCCCUCUCUGGCCACCACCCCGACCUCCUAAAAUUCUCGGCGGUCUACCUCUAAUCGUUGUUCCACUAUGUCUUGCACCUUGUAUCUUAUUUUUCUCAUCAAGUUCCGUGCAAUCUCUAAUGAAGUGAUCCUUCGAACCGC